rnacentral:misc_RNA from 1 species
GAAGUGCGAUAAGUGUCAUGACUUGCAGAUCCCCGAGAGCUGACAAAUUUCUGAAUGCAAAUGGCGACCAACUUACCAUUGGCCAUGUAUUGCAGAGUGUAGUUGUUCAUACUCAUCAUCCUUCUGAAUCCUCUAUUGGGGUUUCAGUCAAGGGAUCUGCGCUUGUAUGUGCAACCCACAUGCGAGCGUGAAACGUCAGAGUGGAUGCCUUUGCUCUCUUUACUGAGGGUUGAGGCUCCAACUUCGGAAGGUAUAUCUACUUUAGAAGUUCCCCCAUACUCUGUCUCGGUUAACCCCCGAGAACCCUUUCUUCUAUUCACCUCUGCAAUGCAGGAAAACCCGCUGAACUUAA